CAGUAGCCGCGUUAAAACGGAGGGUGCAAGCGUUAAUCGGAAUUACUGGGCGUAAAGCGCACGCAGGCGGUCUGACAAGUCAGAUGUGAAAUCCCCGGGCUUAACCUGGGAACUGCAUUUGAAACUGUCAGGCUGGAGUCUUGUAGAGGGGGGUAGAAUUCCAGGUGUAGCGGUGAAAUGCGUAGAGAUCUGGAGGAAUACCGGUGGCGAAGGCGGCCCCCUGGACAAAGACUGACGCUCAGGUGCGAAAGCGUGGGGAGCAAACAGGAUUAGAUACCCCUGUAGUCCCUGUCUCUUAUAC
rnacentral:rRNA from 1 species